rnacentral:rRNA from 1 species
UACAGAGGGUGCGAGCGUUAAUCGGAAUUACUGGGCGUAAAGGCGCGCGUAGGCGGCUUUGCAAGUCGGGUGUGAAAUCCCCAGGCUUAACCUGGGAACUGCAUUCGAGACUGCAUUGCUAGAGUAUGGGAGAGGGAAGUGGAAUUCCGGUGUAGCGGUGAAAUGCGUAGAUAUCUGAAGGAACAUCAGUGGCGAAAGCGACUUCCUGGACCAAUACUGACGCUCAUGUGCGAAAGCGUGGGGAGCAAACAGG